UCAACCUUGACAAACAGUGAGCUCCUCUGUUGUACUUGUCAUUUACAUGAUGUAUGUCUUUACUUUUGUUGAAAAAUUUUCUUUCUCCUACAUUCCUAUGGCAUAUUCUCUUCAUUCUUGAAAUUUAAAGCACAAUUUGAUAUGUACAUGUCAGGAUAAAUUGCAUAUGUCUGGAAGGAAAGGGUAUAUUGUUGAUUAUUUUACCACACAAACAUUACAGUUUUAAUGCAUCACUUCCCAAUGCAGGUGCUGGCAAUGUGAGAUGGAGACCUAAGGGGAAGUAGCUUUGAAGCCUUCUCUCUAGAGUGGGAGCAAGAUCAUCAUAAAGGAGACAAGCAGAGGGAAAUCUGAAGACUCAAGAUCAGCCUCCUGCCACCAAACUUACCCAACAGGGGACACAGUCUCACUUCCUGGAGACAGAGAAGCUUCCCCUUCACCUAAAGAGUCAAAGCCUUUAUAGGGAAUUUUCUGGAGUCAGGCCCAAUGCCUCCUUUCUGGGACUGUGCCCAGGAACUCAUUCUUCUGUAGCUUACAGCCUGCAGACACAUCACUUCAGAGGGCAAUUGCUCUAGAAGUCUAUGAGAGCUGUAACACUUCUCAGCCAUGAACACAUGCUAUGUAAGGGACAGAUCUUAAUCAGUAUCCUGGCACUGUUGGGAGAGAGCUUUGAGCUGUAACAUGGUUUGGAGCUGUAAUGGCUCUCAGCAAUCAUCUACUGUUACUGAGAGUUCAAAUUGUUUCAUUUAUAUCCCUGGUGGAAAUCUGUCUGAAGUUAUUGUACUUGGAUAGGGAAUAAAGUGCCUCCUGUUUGCUUUCA
rnacentral:lncRNA from 1 species